UUUUUUUUUUUUCCUUCUUAGUCGUGUGUACAUCAUUGGGAAUGGAGGGAAAUAAAUGACUGGAUGGUCGCUGCUUUUUAAGUUUCAAAUUGACAUUCCAGACAAGCGGUGCCUGAGCCCGUGCCUGUCUUCAGAUCUUCACAGCACAGUUCCUGGGAAGGUGGAGCCACCAGCCUCUCCCUGACAAGCAAAGUGGAUCAGCAAAGGCUGCAGUCACCAGCAUCUUUUCCAACCUUAAUGAACUGUAUCCUCAAAAGAACACUAUCAGACUGGCUCUGCCGACUUCCAGUUCUGGAACAAGAUGGUUAAACUCAUUUUUCCCUGCUCUGCUCCUCUAAAUACAACUAAGUACCUUGGAAACUAUUCAGCAGACAAUGAUAAAGGGCUCUGAAAGCUAGAAGAAAAGGUGUACUUGCAAGAAACCUCAGGACUUGAGUAACAGCAACAUGGUUCUUCUGAGCUAUGAAGGGGCCCAGAUUUAAGGGCUAUUUUUGACACCCUAAAUGUGCUGAGACAAGUCAUUAAGGUGGUCCUGCCAGGACACAGCCAUCUAAAGCAGCAAUCUGCUUCUUGCCAGAAAAUCUCGUGCCUCUGCAGAGCCUUUUCCAGAAUGAACCACACCAUGCUGAGGAAAGGAGAAAGAGACUACCUACUGCAUUUCUGUCACUCGCUGAAAAGGACACUCUGUCAGAAAAUCUUCUAGCAAACUUCAAAGGGCAAAAUCACCCCUUGUUACUGAUAAAGCCCAGAGAGCUUCAGCAGCUAACAUUCCCUGGACAGGGCACAGCAAGGAUUUGAACCUAGGUCAGUCUGGCCAGAACACCCACAAGCUUUCCUUAACUCAGUGUGCUAUCUCCCCACGACUAGGUCACUACUGCUUUAUAAUCACCUUUGUAGCCACCAGUGGAUUUUGCUCAUCAGUAUUUUUCAGGCAAUUGAUACUUUAGAUAUUCAGCUGCAAGACGUAUGCAGUUUUCAUUGACAUCUUUUGGAGAAACUGACAAACCUGGACUUGACUUAAUGCCUUUGGAACCUUCCAAGAUGUUAUAUAACUCUAGAUAGAAGGCUGGGCCUCCAUGAUGUCAGGAAUGUUGCAUUCUUAUUUCCCCAUAGAUAAACCCAUUUGUCCACAAAGUCAAGGAGUCAGGCAGAGGCCCUUGCCAUGGGGCUUUUUAGGAUAAAGCAACAAGCCUGGACUUUGCUCUACAACAGGGUUUUGCAUAGGGAGUGGUAUGACCAGAUCCCUCAAGAAAGAAAGCUUAGAGACCAGGCCAGAGUCCACUGCAGUAGCCCAGUCAAGAGAGGAUGGUGACUUGGACUUGUAGUAGAGCCAGUUAGAAUGAAAGAAAUUGACACAUUCAGAAAUGGUUUUAGAGAUAGAGUCAAACUGGACCUGAUAAAGAACUAGAGAAGCGGAGUGAGGAUAAAGAGAAGAGCCAUGACUGACUCGGAAGAUUUUGUCUUGAAAAACUUGAGAACUCAAGACAGAGUGAAAUAAAAUCACAUGUGGGAAAAAUC
rnacentral:lncRNA from 1 species